CGGGGUAGAGUAACGCGUGAGGAACCUGCCUCAAAGAGGGGACGAACAGUUGGAAACGACUGCUAAUACCGCAUAAGCCCACAGCUCGGCAUCGAGCAGAGGGAAAAGGAGUGAUCCGCUUUGAGAUGGCCUCGCGUCCGAUUAGCUAGUUGGUGAGGUAAUGGCCCACCAAGGCGACGAUCGGUAGCCGGACUGAGAGGUUGAACGGCCACAUUGGGACUGAGACACGGCCCAA
rnacentral:rRNA from 1 species